rnacentral:rRNA from 1 species
GGGGAAUAUUGGACAAUGGGGGCAACCCUGAUCCAGCAAUGCCGCGUGAGUGAUGAAGGCCUUCGGGUUGUAAAGCUCUUUUGGCGGGGACGAUGAUGACGGUACCCGCAGAAUAAGCCCCGGCUAACUUCGUGCCAGCAGCCGCGGUAAUACGAAGGGGGCAAGCGUUGUUCGGAAUUACUGGGCGUAAAGGGCGCGUAGGCGGCUUACCAAGUCAGGCGUGAAAUUCCCGGGCUCAACCUGGGGGCUGCGCUUGAUACUGGUGAGCUUGAAUACGGGAGAGGAUAGUGGAAUUCCCAGUGUAGAGGUGAAAUUCGUAGAUAUUGGGAAGAACACCAGUGGCGAAGGCGGCUAUCUGGCCCGUUAUUGACGCUGAGGCGCGAAAGCGUGGGGAGCAA